rnacentral:rRNA from 1 species
AUUGAACGCUGGCGGCAGGCCUAACACAUGCAAGUCGAGCGGAUGACGGGAGCUUGCUCCUUGAUUCAGCGGCGGACGGGUGAGUAAUGCCUAGGAAUCUGCCUGGUAGUGGGGGACAACGUUUCGAAAGGAACGCUAAUACCGCAUACGUCCUACGGGAGAAAGCAGGGGACCUUCGGGCCUUGCGCUAUCAGAUGAGCCUAGGUCGGAUUAGCUAGUAGGUGAGGUAAUGGCUCACCUAGGCGACGAUCCGUAACUGGUCUGAGAGGAUGAUCAGUCACACUGGAACUGAGACACGGUCCAGACUCCUACGGGAGGCAGCAGUGGGGAAUAUUGGACAAUGGGCGAAAGCCUGAUCCAGCCAUGCCGCGUGUGUGAAGAAGGUCUUCGGAUUGUAAAGCACUUUAAGUUGGGAGGAAGGGUUGUACGUUGAUACCGUGCAAUUUUGACGUUACCGACAGAAUAAGCACCGGCUAACUCUGUGCCAGCAGCCGCCGUAA